UGCCAUGUCCCACCUGCUAAACAGAUUUCCCUACAUUGACCAGAUUUGGAGUGCCCUUUCCAGAGGGAUGGCAGCCAUUACUGGAGAAGGAAGUGGCUUUGAUGUCCAUUAGAAAAAUCUGCUCAUGCCAUGCCAUUCAGUCAACCCAAGCAUUAUGGGAUGAAGAGAUCUAGCUUUAGAGAAUGAAUGUUUAAAGUUUCCUUGGGAAAUUUUAGCCUGUUCGCAAUGGUUCACUGUUAACAGGAAAUAUUUGAAGUGGAAUACUAUACAGCUAUGAAAAAUAAGGACAUUGUGAAGUUGUGGUCAACUAGAUGGAACGAGUUGAGAAAAUUGAAACUCCUCUGGGUGAGAUCAUUGAAGACCUUGAGAAAAAGGAACACUGGGCAUGGAUCACUGAAGAAACAGAUAUCCACAGAAAAUACAAGAGACAUGACUGAGGAAGAGACAGCUGUGUCUACUGGACUAUGGAUCAAUGGUUAGAGCCCCUAAAAGGGGAGAUAUCUAUUAACAGAGUAUUUGAUCCACAAAUACUGUAGAGGAAAGCUUGUUGGCAUUUCAGAAACCAAUGAGCCUAUAAAGAAAACACACAAUCUGUUUAUUAUAAUUAUAAUCUAUAAACGUGUA